rnacentral:tRNA from 1 species
UUGGCCGAAGCCAAAAUUAAGCGGCUUAUCACUGUUAAUGAUAAAAUUGAAAAUCUUUUCCUGCCAAA